UACGAAGGGGGCUAGCGUUGCUCGGAAUCACUGGGCGUAAAGCGCACGUAGGCGGCUUUUUAAGUCAGGGGUGAAAUCCUGGAGCUCAACUCCAGAACUGCCUUUGAUACUGAGAAGCUUGAGUCCGGGAGAGGUGAGUGGAACUGCGAGUGUAGAGGUGAAAUUCGUAGAUAUUCGCAAGAACACCGGUGGCGAAGGCGGCCUUCUGGACGAGUGACUGACGCUGAGAUGCGAAAGCGUGGGGAGCAAACAGG
rnacentral:rRNA from 1 species